AUAAUGUAUAGCCUAUUAAGGACCUAUUUCAGGAUAAAUAUACAAAUACAUUCACUUUGAAGUGUAGAAGGUCCUACAGGCAGCUGUAAUAAACUAAGAUAUACUAUUUAUGAGAUGGCUUGCAGUGUGCUUAUCUGACAGGAUUAAAACCGUGCAUUCUGUGUGAAUGUGUAUUUGAAUGUUAACAUUUAAUAACAUGUCGUUUUUAGUUAUGUAAUCAUUUGAAAGUCCCUUCAAGUUGAAAAAGCACAUGCAUUCUUAUUAUGGCCACACCUGGCGUACUAGUAAAUCAACUGUGAUCAGAUUGGUUAAAAAAAUAGAGGCUGCGUGUGAUUUCAGUUCCGGUUCAAUGCAUUUGUAAUGAGGGGGCGCACUUCUGUGCAGUGUGCACAAGUCGUCGUUGCCAGCAGGCUGCACCCGACAGCCAAGGGAUUAUGUGGCAUAGCAAGUCUCUGAAGCAGUGUCUCACACUCGAGUCCUGACCGAGGGCCUUGAAACUGGCAUGCCUGUUCAAAACAUCUCCAGGACAACAAGGUCUACCAACAAUGUGUAUGAUGUAUGACUACCUGAAAGCAUUUGUCUAUGACCUCACCCAGCUGCUGAGAGAACCUUCAGAGGUAAACCUCUAAAGGUGUGCUCCUUUAUAAGCGAUGCUCCAGCAUGUGAUUUUCUUCAAAACAGUGUGCUAUCCUCUGGUUCAGUCUUUAUCAUCUACAGUUGAUUUAGGUACAAAAAAAGCCCAUUUCACAUAUCCCAUUGAUUAAAUGCACCUCUGCUGUUUGGGUGUAAAUUUUGCCAUCACUAUUUCUUGUUACGGAGAUGAGGACAACUACUUGCCUCUUUCAUGCAUCUCCUUUGUCCACAUCUAUGUUUGGGGAUUGUAAUUUGAAGCCAUUCCUCAAGUGUUUGCUAUGCCUCAUUGUUUAUUAUACUGCAUACUACAUUGGCACACUUGGGAAAAUAUAUAUAUUUUAUUCAAUGUCUUCCCUUCUACAAUGCGGCAGCAAAAUCAUUACUACAGAUUUUUUUCCCCCACUUUAUUCUGUUUUGGGCAUUUCCUACCAGUGCAAAGAUGUUUAAAUUAGUCACUGAAAGCAGUGUUCUGAAAUAUCAAAAAUAGUUGUAGCCUGUAUGCAUGGCCUUCACAUAUUUUUUGUAAAGCUGUACAUGUCUUUAAAGAUGUUGAUGCGGAUGUUUCCACAUUUACAUUUCUCAGUGCAAAUGGGUUUUUGAAUAAGUUUCUGAAAGUAGUGCUUUGAGAUGUUUGAGAUAACAAACUAAAUGGAAAUACUUUUGGUCGCUGUGUCAUAAUUCAGCUCAAUAUUUAAUAUAUUGUUUCUUAUGGCACAUUAACGAGAAAAUGUCAAACUGGCACUGAAUGUUGAAAAGGUUGCUGACCCCUGGUUACUGUAUUCCCUCUCCCGCUCCAUUACAUGUAUGUUUGUUUAUUUCAAGUUAACUUGUUUUUCUGUGUUAUUACAACCUUGCAACACAUUUCCAUUAAUGUAGUUUGUUUAUUCAUUAACAGUUUUCCAAAAACACAAUCAAAUGGGUAUUAAAACCUUAAUCUUUUGUCAAGCCAAACUCUUGAGUAAUUAUUUCAAAGAAUAGGGGCGUGGAAAUCAAUGAGGUAAGUGGGCUUUGGGGCUUAUCUUAUGACUAACUUUGGAUCUGAACUAAUGUGAAUUGUGAGUAGUUCUCAUGG
ensembl:lncRNA